rnacentral:lncRNA from 1 species
CAUGUGUAUAUAUAUAUAUAUAGGCGGGAAUACAUUUCCUAGCCAUUUAAUUUGGAUCCGAGAAGGUAAAAAUAAUGGAUGAGCUGCACAAGAUUGCAAGGGCGUAUUACAUCACUGCCAAUGAAGAGAGCAAAUCGCAAGGUAGAAGAUUUUUCAAAAGCAUAGAUCACGACGGGAGUAGAGGAAUAACCAUUCAAGAGUACCUGCCAUACAUGAAGCGGAACGGUCACACAAAAAUGGCGAACCGUCCCUUUUUCGACUAUCUAAACGUAAGUGGAACCGGCGAACUAGAGUUUAUGGAAGUGAUGACUCUCUUCUACAUAAUUAAGAGUGGAAGAAAGUUUUGUGAUGGAUGCGAUGGGCUUCUAAAGGGAACGUUUUUCUCAUGCACCGACUGCUUUGAUCUUGAUGACAAUCUUUGCAGUGAAUGUUUUACUGAAAGCAGUUAUGUCCACCCCCACAGACAUUUUUUGGAUAAUUGGAUAACUAUAUUAUUCUUGAAAACAUGAAGGUGGCAAACAAGGAGGGGCAGAUGAAUCAUCAGGUAAGCUAUAUAUUUUUCUGUUAUUUCACUUGUCAUGUCACAACUAUAUAUAUAUAUAUAUAUAUAUAUAUAUAUAUAUAUAUAUAUUGUACAUAAACAAAUAAAUCAAUCACACGCGCUAGUGUCGAAUUCCUUUCAAUAAUAAUAAUAAUAAUUUUCCUAGAUACUUGUUAACCCAACUCGAUUUUGAUUUUAUAUUUCAGGUCCAAAAUGCGGGUGCUAGCAACGCAAUUGUCUUGUAUAAUCGUCAAAGUCGAUCAAGUGUGAGUUGAUUGGUUCUUAUAUAUCAUUUAGUAAUUAUUGUCCAGUCAAAUCUGCUAUUAUCCAUUAAGAAUAUAUCAUCAAACGAAACCCUCUACAAUAAAAUAUAUUAGUAUAUAUAUACGAUCGGGUAGCUAAUUAAUUAUAUGUACAUAUAUAGCACUAUUUAUUAUUAUUAUUAUUAUUAUUAUUAUUAUUAUUAUAUAUAUAUAUAUAUAUAAAUAAAAUAGCAAUCAUCUCAAGAUUCUAGCUCUUCAUCAAGGUCAUAUUGUUUUACGUCCAUGUCUCUCUAAUUAAGUUGAGCUAUCAAGAAGCUUGAAACCCCAUUAUGAUUAUUUCUUCUUCUUUUUUAAUUUUUCUACGGGGGUAAGACCCGUGACUAGCUUGUUGAUACUAAUAACUUGUUGGUCUUGCUUCUCUCUUUCUUUUACUAGGUCUUCGCGACUGUGUUUCAGGCAGUUGCUACGACGGCGGGUCCUGACUUUCGAAACCCAUGCAAGCAUAAUAAUCUGGGAAUAUAUAUAUAUAUAUAUAUAUAUAUAUAAUCUGGGAAUAUAUAUAUAUAUAUAUAUAUAUAUAUAUAUAUAUAUAUAUAUAUAUAUAUAUAUAUAUAAAGUUACGAAGUUUCUCUAUCCUUUAUGAAUCUGUCAUGUAUUUGGAUUUUGAAUAACGAGGCUAUGUAUUUAGCCAUGUUUGGAUUUUGAAUUGUUAUUAAUACCAUGGUUAUUGUAUUUUUAUGUUUGUGGGUUAUUUUUUUUCCUUGCCUUUAUUCCUCAGUUAUCACGCAUGGCAUGAUCAUCAAACCUGGAUAUUGAUAUAGAGAUUUUAUAUAUCUCCCUUCCUUGUGUUUAGCCAACACCACAGGAAAAAAAAUCAACAACAAAUAUUGAUGGAAAAAUUCUCAUAUGUAGAUUACAGUGAGUUUUACCAACGAAACAAUUCCUCUUAAUAUAUGUCCAUAAACACCGACAAAAAAAUCUUUAUUAGUGUAUGCUGGAGGAAUUAAAGUGGAAAACGAAUGAUUAAAAAAAAAAGAGAUAUAAUGAAAUGUCAUUUUUACAGACAAAAAUACCGAUAAAAUAAACCUGUUGGUAAUAUUCAUCCAUGAAUCUAUCAAUAAUAUUUAAGUUAUGAUAGUUGAGAAUAAUAGAAUGUGUGUUGGGUUGUGCCUUAGCCAACCUUCCUAUUUAUAUAUGUAGGGCAGAACACGGCAGUAACUGUAGGGAUUACAACAUUGGAAUAAUCCUAUAUUAAUUUUCUAUUCUGAUAUAUACUAGCUAUAAAUUCUAUAAUAUGCCCCCUCAAGCUGAGGGUGGGGGAUCAACUCGAAGCUAAAAUUGCAGCUUGAUUUCCGCCUAUUUUGCAGCCUUUCUUGGUCGGCUUUCUCCGCAUUGCCAACCUUUAUUUUAAAACGAAUCUGAAUCUCUUUCUUGGCAACGCGGUCACGGACAAAGUGAUAAUCCACUUCAACAUGCUUAGUACGAGCAUGGAAGAUAGGAUUGGCCGAGAGAUAGGUAGCACCAAGAUUAUCACACCAAAUGGUAGGAGCACAAACUAAAGGAACCUGCAGAUCUGUUAACAAGUAUUGAAGCCAAAUGACUUCAGCAGUACCAUCAGCAAGAGCUUUAUACUCAGCCUCAGUAGAGGAGCGAGUAACUGUGCGUUGCUUGCCGGAUUUCCAAGAAAUCGGUGUCUGACCAAAAAAGACAAGAUAGCCACCCGUAGACUUGCGAUCAUCAAUACUACUAGCCCAAUCUGCAUCUGUAAAGCCAUGUAGAGCAAAAGAGGAGCCUCGAGUGAUAUGAAAACCAUAAGAUGUCGUACCUUUAAGAUAGCGUAGAAUACGCUUAACAGCGGCCCAAUGAGAAUCUGUAGGAGCAUGCAUAAACUGACAGACUCUGUUAACAGCAAAGCAUAUAUCCAAACGGGUGAAGGUAAGAUAUUGAAGAGCACCCACGAUUUGAUGAAAUCGUGUAGGAUCAGAGAAUGAGUGAUCCGGUAAUAAAGUGACUUUCGAAGGGGAGACUGGAGUAUCAACAGGUUUGCAGGAAGUCAUACCAGCGCGGGUGAGGAUGUCAAGAAUAUAUUUAUGUUGACGCAGCAUUAAACCCAUACCGGUAGACUGAACUUCAAUACCCAGAAAGUAGUGAACAGCAACUAAGUCAUGAAGCUUGAACUCAGUGCUAAGUAGCUGUAUUAGAUGAUGAAGCAUAGCAGAGUUGCUACCCGUAAGCAGAAUAUCAUCAACAUACACCAGGAGAUAAAAGAUAUUAGUACCAUCAGAUAAAAGAUAUUAGUAUCAUCAGAUAAAAUAAACAGGGAGGUGUCAACCUUAGAAGCGCGAAAACCAAUGGAGAGCAGAAAAUCACUUAGACGAGUUGAUGUAACCAUGUUAUUCGAUAGUUUCACCCACAUCUACCUAAUGUUUUGUCUAUGUUUUAUGUAUAAAAUGCCUUGAUAUUCUUUGUUUUAUGUUUUGAAGGCACUUUUGGAUGAAAGAUGCAAAAGGGAGUAAAUUGGAGGUAAUUGGCAGAUUUGACGUUCAGUCGAUGUUUUGUGCAGAGCGUGAGUUCUAGAGAUCGAAAUGAAGUGAUUCCAGUGGCACUAAAAAGCUAACAUCCAUACAUUUCUGGAAAUGUAAUGCAAGAAAAAUAAAAAGAGAAAGAUCAUGGAAAUCACAUCCUGCAAAGUCAAAUCUCGCAUUCUGCCAGUGUUGACCUUUGGCCAUUCAAAAUUUAAUAUCUGGAGCUACAGAAGUCCAAUUAAUGAAAACUAAAUUUUCGUGGAUUCCUGACUUAAAGAACUAUCAACGCUCCAAAUUUCAGCCAAAAAAGAUGUCAUAUGAGGGAGAUAUGAUUUUUAAAAGAUGACAUCUGAAUUCUGCCAGCAAACAGGUUUCGUGAAGAAACAAGUCCAAAUUACAUUCCGAAGCAUCUAAACCGACAUCCAAGUUUUUAUAUCAGCAAUUUAGCUCCUCUAAGUCAGAGCUUGAAGAUUUCAUGCAAGGCUAUUUCUCCUUUUAGGAAAAAUAGUUAUUGAAGUACUUAAAUGUAAACUGCCAACUCAAGGAAGGACUAUUUUGUGAAAUAGAGACUAGGGUUUCUUAGCAUAUAAAAAGAAAGAGAGAAGGAGACAGCAGCCAGCAGAAAAGAGGGAGAGCAGAAGGAGGCAGCAGCCAGCAGAGAAUAAACACAAAUUCUCUCCUCUUCAAACCCAAAAAAAUCAUGCUCUUUUCAUUCUUUAGAAGUAGUUGUUCAAUAGUUAUGCAAGGCUAAGCUCUUUUCUUGGUUGCAAGGACACAACUAACCUUUGGAUUUCAAGAACCGUGAGAUUUAUUCUUCCUUUUAUUUUCAGUUUAUGUUAUGAAUGAGUAUGAUGUUUUCCUAUGCAUAUUUUCUAUGAUUGUUGUUGAUGAUUGCUAGAGCGGACUCUAAGUUAUUGUUGUGAACAAUCUAUUGCUAAGUUUAAUAUCAAAACCAGAGUUGUGAUAUAUGAACUUGUGAAGCAACUAAGCUUGAUAAUUGUGGCGGAACUACGUUAUUGAACUUAGGGAGAACAUUUGAACAAAGUGACACAAGCUGCGGACAGCUUGUAUGUUAAUCUUGAUGAAAUUAUCUAGUUCUUAAAGCUACCAUUAAAUUGAAUCAUUAGUGCGGACACUUUGAUUGUUUGUUGGUUAGGAUUAGUUAUACGGCGGAUCCGUUAAUUAAUCAACGUUAAGAAAAGAUAAAAUUUCAGAACAUAAACUGCAAUUUUUGUUUCAAGGAUCGGUUCUAAUUUCCGUUGGUGGAUGUGUGCUUGCGACCAAGGUUUGUUUUCUUGAUAAGUUUUGGUUUUAAUUGAUUUUGUUUGCUAGUUUAAUUGCUGCCAUAGUUUAGAUAAUCACAAACCAAAUCCCCCCAAUUACAUAACGUACAACAUAAAAAUCUGACUUGAAACUUCCUCGUGGGAUCGACCCCUUGCUUGCUCUAUACUAUCUUGUGUGUUGUGUUUGAAGCUAGGGUAAUUAAUUUGUGCGACCGCGACAUCGCAACACGAGUGUACCAUGCUCUCGGUGCCUAUUUCAAACCAUACAAUGAUUUGUGCAAUCUGCACAUAUGAGAUGGAAGAGAGGAGUCAACAAAACCUGGAGGCUGUUUCACGUAGACCUCUUCAGUAAGAACACUAUUGAGGAAGGCAUUAUGAAUAUCAAGCUGAUGAAUCUUCCAAUUUCGCGAAACCGCGAUAGAGAAAACCAAUCGGACAGUGGCCUGCUUAAUAACUGGACUUAAGGUUUCAGAAUAAUCAAUACCUUCCUGCUGGGUAAAACCUCUAGCAACAAGGCGCGCUUUAUAGCGCUCAAUACUACCAUCAACACGACGUUUGAUCCGAUAUACCCAUCUACUGCCAACAACGUUCAUAGAAGAAUGAAAUGGAACCAAAGACCAAGUGUGAUUUGAGCGCAAAGCAGCGAUCUCAUCACACAUAGCAUUAUGCCAAACUGCAUACCGGCGGUCAGCAUCAGAAAAUGCAAAGGGCUCAGAAGAAGGAGAAUGCAGUACCCGUGUGGAGGCAGAGGUGGCGGCAGCGGAAGUAGCCAGGUUUGCUGCCGCGGUCUGAGAGUCAUAGGAUGGCUGCUGCGUGCUGGUGAAGAAGACUGGACUGCUGGUGCUGCAGAGGAAGAAGAUGUAUGUGGCGGUUGUUCCAUUGAAGAAGAGAGGUUGUGCUGCAGAGGAAGAAGAUGUAUGUGCUGAAGGAGAAGUAGGUUAAUUUGCCGAAGAAGAAGGUUGCCGGCUGUGAGAGAAGUAGGUUUAAUUAUUUGCUGCAGGAGAAGGUUGCUGGCUGUGAGAGAAGUAAAGGUUGCCGGCUGUGAGAGAAGUAGGUUAAGUAUUUUUAGGGUUUUGCGGCUCUGAUACCAAGUUGAGAAUAAUAAAAUGUGUGUUGGGUUGUGCCUUAGCCAACCUUCCUAUUUAUAUAUGUAGGGCAGAACACGGCAGUAACUGUAGGGAUUACAACAUUGGAAUAAUCCUAUAUUAAUUUCCUAUUCUGAUAUAUACUAUCUAUACAUUCUAUAAUAAUGAUAUGUUGAGCGACCCCCCCUCUCCUCCUCCCCCAUUCGUUCUUCUUCCUCCAUUUUCUUUGCAAAAAACAGCAACCCCCCUCCUAAAAUGCAUGCCAAAACACAUAUAUUUUUUGUUUUUGUAUGAAAAUAUUAAACGAUAUGAUUUUUUUUUGUUAUAUUUUUUAGAGAUUUAACCAUAUGCAACAUAAAAAAAAAAUUAUUUGUAGUUUUCUAGAAAAACAAAAUGACCCUGAGAGGUUUAAAAGGAAUUUUUCUAAAAAAAACACAUCCUAAAAUAAAAAUAAAAAAUGAAAAAGCAAAACAAAACAAAAGCAAAAGUUGAUUUAUUUUAAAUUAUUACUAAAAGUUAAGUCAAACCACUACUGACUUUUAUAAUAUUUGAGGGAUCAUGACACGUUACUAGACGAUGCACCUAAUUUUCAAAUAUAAAUUAAUCAAUUAUUGAUUUGAUAAUAAAUUAAAUUGUUUAAUUAUAUUUAAUUAUAAUUAGAAUUUAUAUUCGAGCUAUCAUAUUAGGAACCUAAUGGGUCACACACAUUAAGAAACAUUAGUCAGAAAUUAAACUAGGAUGAUUUAAUUAAGUAUGACUUGAUUAAAAUAUAUUUUAGAAAUUAAUUAAUACAUAUAUUAUAUAAUUAAUACAUAUAUUAUAUUUCUAGACCUAGAAAAAUCAAGGACUUGAUUGAGUUAAUUUGUAAAAUUAUCCUGAAUUAGUACGUGGAUAUUAUUCAAGGGACAAAUUGAUAUUUUUGCUAAUUUAUAGGGUUUUUCAGAUUUUCCUAUAAAUAGUAAGCCAUGCCUCUUAUUUUUCUGGGGUUUCAUGUUGGACAGAAAAACUAUGUAAGUCACAUGAUAUAGAGCUAACACUCUAAUCAUAGCAACCACUCUCUUUUAAAUAAAGAUUUAAGAGAUUUCUUACUGGUAGUUUGUGUUGAUUAUUGUUGGAGACCAGACAAAUUGGACGGCUUGUAGUUUGCAACAACUUAAAUCUUUAAAGAAUUAUUUAAAGUCAAAGAAGAUCAUAUCUUUAGGUUCUAGAUCCGUCUAACAUAAUAUUAGAGAAUCCUGAAUAAUUUUAUUUUAUUAUUUUCCAUGCAUGCAUGCUAUUCAGAAAUCCCAACAUCAUUAACCUCUUAAACACGCAGUGGCAGACUGUAACAUGUUGUCACAUUUAUGAUAUUGAGAGGAACAUUCAAAAUGAAAAACCAAGUCACAAAAUGAUGUAUCACCAAAAAUAUGUGAGGCGGAGGGCCAAGUCCACGAAUGCAGAAGACAAAAAAGACUGCAAGGGCGUAUACGAUGUCUUGGUCUUCCUUAAUUUUGUUUAUAUAAAUUAUAUGUACUGGAAGAGAAAAGUAAAGAGAGAUUGAGGGGAACAUUAAUUAAAUUAGAAAAAUCAAGUCACAACCAAAAGUAUGUAACGGAGAAGACGACAAAGACCCUAGACCUAUACGAUGUCUUGGUCUUCCUUAAUUUUGUUUACAUACAUUAUACGUACACAUAAUUAAACUAGGGUUGUCCAUGUGUAUAUAUAUAUAUAUAGGCGGGAAUACAUUUCCUAGCCAUUUAAUUUGGAUCCGAGAAGGUAAAAAUAAUGGAUGAGCUGCACAAGAUUGCAAGGGCGUAUUACAUCACUGCCAAUGAAGAGAGCAAAUCGCAAGGUAGAAGAUUUUUCAAAAGCAUAGAUCACGACGGGAGUAGAGGAAUAACCAUUCAAGAGUACCUGCCAUACAUGAAGCGGAACGGUCACACAAAAAUGGCGAACCGUCCCUUUUUCGACUAUCUAAACGUAAGUGGAACCGGCGAACUAGAGUUUAUGGAAGUGAUGACUCUCUUCUACAUAAUUAAGAGUGGAAGAAAGUUUUGUGAUGGAUGCGAUGGGCUUCUAAAGGGAACGUUUUUCUCAUGCACCGACUGCUUUGAUCUUGAUGACGAGUCCUUCAAUCUUUGCAGUGAAUGUUUUACUGAAAGCAGUUAUGUCCACCCCCACAGACAUUUUUUGGAUAACUAUAUUAUUCUUGAAAACAUGAAGGUGGCAAACAAGGAGGGGCAGAUGAAUCAUCAGGUAUCCUAGCUAGCUAAGCUAUAUAUUUUUCUGUUAUUUCACUUGUCAUGUCA